rnacentral:lncRNA from 1 species
AAAUAGGUAUUAUAAAAAAAUUUAUUAAGUUCCAAUUCCUUUCUCUCUAAAUCCUUCCACUUAUGGGAGGAAAGAAAGAAGAGAAUUGGAGCCCAAAAUUUUUCCUCCUAUUCCCUCCUUUUCUUUUCCUUUUCCUCCACUAAAAAACUCCCAAACAUCAAAAUUUUCAAUUUUUCCUUCCAUUCCAUUCCUUUCUCCUCCCAAACAUCAAAACUUUUAACUUUUCCUUCCAUUUCGUUCCUUUCUCCAAGAGGAAGGAAAGAAAAGAAAAGGAGGGAAUAGGAGAAAAAUUUUGGGCUCCAAUUCUCUCCUUUCUUUUCUCCCAUAAGUGGAAGGAUUUCGAGAGAAAGGAAUUGAAACUUAAUAAUUUUUUAUAAUACCUAUUUUACCCUUAAAUUAAAGAAAUACCAAAUUAAAAGGACAAAUAUAUCCUAGAGCAUCUUUUGUUUUAACUUUUCAUAUGUCAUCUCC